CAAGACCUCUUGCCAGAGCUCCGCUGCGGACACAGAAUGCCUUCCAGGAACAGAAAAGCCUUUUACGCCUUUAGAGCUGGUCAUUGCUUGGGGUAGGCUAACACAGAACACAUCUGCAAGAGACAGGAUCCCCCCAACACCACGGAGUACAUGUGGAGAAGUGGAGAAAUGUCUGUUUGAGAAGUGAUUCAGAAGAGACUAUCAAAAGGAAAGCACCCCAGUUCCCUUUCCAGGUAUACAGUGAUCCUCUGGGAAAGCAAUGAGUUGGAGUUGAGAGAAGCAGAGGGAGCAUUAAUCCCAGAGGAUGCCAUGAUCAGCUGAGUUCUCAGUUUGAAGUUCUGGAGCUGGAGGGCUGUAUUCCCUGGUGGACUUGAAAUAACUGCAGCAGCUGGAAACAAGGAGAAGCAGGAACCACAAGACCAUCAGAUCUGCAUCGCCUGUGUUUAACAUCUGUGAGCUCAGAAAUGGAAGGAAGAAAGAGAUUCUCAGAGAUUCUCACUGCUAAAAAUCUGACGCAAAACAAAUGAUUGUCCGCGGUAAAACUGCUUGGAUUAAGUUGCCAUUUUCUACAUGC